GAUCCUGGCUCAGGAUGAACGCUAGCUACAGGCUUAACACAUGCAAGUCGAGGGGAAACGAUAUUGGAAGCUUGCUUCCGAUAGGCGUCGACCGGCGCACGGGUGAGUAACACGUAUGCAAUCCACCUGUAACAGGGGGAUAACCCGGAGAAAUCCGGACUAAUACCCCAUAAUAUGGGCGCUCCGCAUGGAGAGCCCAUUAAAGAGAGCAAUUUUGGUUACAGACGAGCAUGCGCUCCA
rnacentral:rRNA from 1 species